rnacentral:rRNA from 1 species
UACGAAGGGGGCUAGCGUUGCUCGGAAUCACUGGGCGUAAAGGGUGCGUAGGCGGGUCUUUAAGUCAGAGGUGAAAGCCCAGGGCUCAACCUUGGAAUUGCCUUUGAUACUGGUUGUCUUGAGUUCGGGAGAGGUGAGUGGAAUGCCGAGUGUAGAGGUGAAAUUCGUAGAUAUCGGGAGGAACACCGGUGGCGAAGGCGGCGACCUGGGUAGAUACUGACGCUGAGGCGCGAAAGCGUGGGGGAGCAAACAGG